UUACCGAGUGGGGUGCAGGAGUAUGACCUACAAAUUGACAGACGAUGUGCCUGAGUCUGUCUGUCACUUCUGUAGGCCAACAUCCUGUACUCCGCCUCAACCCC
rnacentral:pre_miRNA from 13 species